ACCUGCGGAGGAUCAUUAUUGAUUUUAAAAGAUGUGCUGGCUUUAUGGCAUGUGCACUCUUAACAAAACCAAUAUCCACCUGUGCACAAUCUGUAGGCAUUUGCCUAUGUCUCUUUACAAACAACUAUUGAUGUAUUUGAAUGCUUUAUAAAUAUUGUAAAA
rnacentral:misc_RNA from 1 species